GAUGAACGCUGGCGGCGUGCCUAAUACAUGCCAGUCGAGCGAACGGACGAGAAGCUUGCUUCUCUGAUGUUAGCGGCGGACGGGUGAGUAACACGUGGAUAACCUACCUAUAAGACUGGGAUAACUUCGGGAAACCGGAGCUAAUACCGGAUGAUAUUUUGAACCGCAUUGUUCAAAAGUGAAAGACGGUCUUGCUGUCACUUAUAGAUGGAUCCGCGCUGCAUUAGCUAGUUGGUAAGGUAACGGCUUACCAAGGCAACGAUGCAUAGCCGACCUGAGAGGGUGAUCGGCCACACGGGAACUGAGACACGGUCCAGACUCCUACGGGAGGCAGCAGUAGGGAAUCUUCCGCAAUGGGCGAAAGCCUGACGGAGCAACGCCGCGGGAGUGAUGAAGGUCUUCGGAUCGUAAAACUCUGUUAUUAGGGAAGAACAUAUGUGUAAGUAACUGUGCACAUCUUGACGGUACCGAAUCAGAAAGCCACGGCUAACUACGUG
rnacentral:rRNA from 1 species